GGCUCGGUAGCGGAAAGUCCGCGUCUGUUUUCAAUACCCCACUUCCCUUUGUGCAGCAGAAGAAGCCUGUUCGACACAGGCCCGAGCCA